rnacentral:misc_RNA from 1 species
AAAGGCACAAGGCAUUCAAUACGCUUGAUGCAUAGGCACCAGGUGCAAAGUGCAAGUGUGUGGUUGAAGAAUAUGAGGUGCAUAAAUAUUAAAGCUUGUGUAAAAUACAUGUAUAAUGUUUUCAAUUUUUAGUGGUAUUAGUUGAAUGCAAGAACAAUAAAAAAAUCAUAAUAACACAUGAAUACUGUGAAGAAGAUAACUAGGAUGUCUUCAACAUAAGUUAUAUGCACGGUAGAGUAGAGUGCAAGGAAAUCAUGAACACAGAAUAUAACCUCAAGCCAUAUUAGUUUUGCAAAAUCCUUUUGCAUGCAAGAGUAAAAAAAGUAGCAAAACACCACUAAGCAUUGUACAACACACAAAUCAAUGCUUCUUCCUCGUUGCCCAUCAACUUUAAAAGGUCCUUUCCUCAUCUAUAUUUUCUAACAGAAUAGCCCUAUACCUAGAAGCACUUUGUUUGCCACUACACCAGAGACUCAACUUCACUAGAAGGGGGAGAGGUAACUUCAGCUUGAGAUCAAAACUCCAAAUCCCAUCAUGAUAUUCACCUUGUAAAUGUUGAUUCUGUGCUAUUGUACUUAUUUCAUUAACAUAAAUAGAACAAUCCAAUGGUAAAAACCAAAUCACUAUGAGAUUUUAGUGAAAAAAUCCUCAGGUCUUUAUGGUGCACCCAUUACACCAAGACACCCCUUAAAAGCACUCAAGCCUUGCCAGGGAACAAUCAAGGCAUGUGACCUUGGGCUUGGGUGAACUUUGCAGCCUAGGUAUGCCUUUGACAGGUGACAACUAUGGACCAAUAUCAUGCCAAUGGCCGGCUGUACGUUCCUAUGUUAGACAUUUAUUAGAAGAUUUCAUUUUUUGCCCUCCUUUUGGUAAAAAUCUCAUAUGGACAAAUGUGAUGUUGUUUAUGUUUGGUUCUACUUUAAGGGGUUAAGGGUGGUCCUCCAAGCUUAUUUGUAUUCCAUUUUCCUGUUAAAUGAUUAUUGUGGAAUAUAUUGUAAAUAAAUGCAUUGGCGUUAGAAACUGCUUUCAAACAACGUACAUUUGAAGAAAGGCCCAACCAUGAUGGUAGAUUUGAAUGUGCUUCCUUUCCUGUAGAUUUGAUUAUGGAAUCGUCAUCUGAGCAAGUUCAUGGAUUACCAUUCAGAUGCAUGUGUUUGAUUCUGCCUUCACUGUGUUCUUCUGAAUAGCACAUAGUGAUAUUUUUCUAUGAUUUUAACAACAGAUAUGACAAAUCUGGUAACGAGCAGUUUGUGACUGAACUUAGCAAAUGGAUCUUCCAUGAAAGAGGUCAUCUAAAGGCUGUUAAUGUUAGGCACCACAAAGUUGGGGAAGCUGAUGAACCUGCAAUGUAUAGGAUCAAAGAUGAUCUGGACUUUUCUGUUGAGAUAUAUGAAUGGUCUGGAAAGAGCUGGGAACCAUAUGUGGCC